rnacentral:pre_miRNA from 1 species
UAAUCAUGGUGGUGAUGAUGAUGAUGAUGAUGAUGAUAAUGACAAUCAUCAUCAUCAUCAUCAUCAUCGUCAUCGUCAUCGUCAUCG